rnacentral:rRNA from 1 species
AGUGAACGCUGGCGGUAGGCCUAACACAUGCAAGUCGAACGGCAGCACAGUAAGAGCUUGCUCUUACGGGUGGCGAGUGGCGGACGGGUGAGGAAUACAUCGGAAUCUACUUUUUCGUGGGGGAUAACGUAGGGAAACUUACGCUAAUACCGCAUACGACCUACGGGUGAAAGCAGGGGAUCUUCGGACCUUGCGCGAUUGAAUGAGCCGAUGUCGGAUUAGCUAGUUGGCGGGGUAAAGGCCCACCAAGGCGACGAUCCGUAGCUGGUCUGAGAGGAUGAUCAGCCACACUGGAACUGAGACACGGUCCAGACUCCUACGGGAGGCAGCGGUGGGGAAUAUUGGACAAUGGGCGCAAGCCUGAUCCAGCCAUACCGCGUGGGUGAAGAAGGCCUUCGGGUUGUAAGGCCCUUUUGUUGGGAAAGAAAAGCAGCAGGUUAAUACCCCGCUGUUCUGACGGUACCCAAAGAAUAAGCACCGGCUAACUUCGUG